GAGAGGUGCUGCAUGGCUGUCGUCAGCUCGUGUUGUGAAAUGUUGGGUUAAGUCUCGCAACGAGCGCAACCCCUAUCGUCUGUUGCCAGCAUUAAGUUGGGCACUCUGACGAGACUGCCUGGGUUAACCAGGAGGAAGGUGGGGAUGACGUCAAGUCCUCAUGGCCCUUAUGUCUAGGGCUACACACGUAAUACAAUGGCGCGUACAAAGGGAAGCGAACUCGCAAGGGGGAGCAAAUCUCAAAAAGCGCGUCUCAGUCCGGAUUGGAGUCUGCAACUCGACUCCAUGAAGUUGGAAUCGCUAGUA
rnacentral:rRNA from 1 species